GACGAACGCUGGCGGCGUGCUUAACACAUGCAAGUCGAACGAUGAAGCUGGAGCUUGCUCCGGUGGAUUAGUGGCGAACGGGUGAGUAACACGUGAGAAAUCUGCCCUUGACUCUGGGAUAACUGCGGGAAACUGUAGCUAAUACCGGAUAUUUUCCUUGGUGGGCAUCCACUGGGGAAGAAAGAAUUUCGGUCAAGGAUGAUCUCGCGGCCUAUCAGCUAGUUGGUGAGGUAAUGGCUCGCCAAGGCGACGACGGGUAGCCGGCCUGAGAGGGUGAACAGGCACACGGGGACUGAGACACGGCCCAGACUCCUACAGGAGGCAGCAGGGGGGAAUAUGGCACAAUGGGCGCAAGCCUGAUGCAGCAACGCCGCGGGAGGGAUGAAGGCCUUCGGGUUGUAAACCUCUUUUAGCAGGGAAGAAGCGAAAGUGACGGUACCUGCAGAAAAAGCACCGGCUAACUACGUGCCAGCCGCCGCAGUAA
rnacentral:rRNA from 1 species